rnacentral:rRNA from 1 species
AUGGUUAAGCUACUAAGAGCACACGGAGGAUGCCUAGGCGCUAGGAGUCGAUGAAGGACGUGGCGAACAACGAAACUGCCUCGGGGAGCUGUAAGCAAGCUUUGAUCCGGGGGUGUCCGAAUGGGGAAACCCGGCUGUGGUAAUACGCAGUCACUCACAUCUGAAUACAUAGGGUGUGUAGAGACAGACCAGGGGA